AUUGAACGCUGGCGGCAUGCCUUACACAUGCAAGUCGAACGGCAGCAUGAUCUAGCUUGCUAGAUUGAUGGCGAGUGGCGAACGGGUGAGUAAUACAUCGGAACGUGCCCUGUAGUGGGGGAUAACUAGUCGAAAGAUUAGCUAAUACCGCAUACGACCUGAGGGUGAAAGUGGGGGACCGCAAGGCCUCAUGCUAUAGGAGCGGCCGAUGUCUGAUUAGCUAGUUGGUGAGGUAAAGGCUCACCAAGGCGACGAUCAGUAGCUGGUCUGAGAGGACGAUCAGCCACACUGGGACUGAGACACGGCCCAGACUCCUACGGGAGGCAGCAGUGGGGAAUUUUGGACAAUGGGCGAAAGCCUGAUCCAGCAAAGCCGCGUGUGUGAAGAAGGCCUUCGGGUUGUAAAGCACUUUUGUCCGGAAAGAAAUGGCUCUGGUUAAUACCUGGGGUCGAUGACGGUACCGGAAGAAUAAGGACCGGCUAACUACGUG
rnacentral:rRNA from 1 species